AGCUGGUCCAAUGGCAGUGGUGCUUACAACUAAUUCAUCCAAACCAAUUAUAGAUUUGUUUCUUCUCCAUUCCCAUUGCUUCACUUGACUAGCUUAAA
rnacentral:Y_RNA from 1 species